rnacentral:rRNA from 1 species
GAUGAACGCUGGCGGCGUGCCUAAUACAUGCAAGUCGAGCGAACAGACGAGGAGCUUGCUCCUCUGACGUUAGCGGCGGACGGGUGAGUAACACGUGGAUAACCUACCUAUAAGACUGGGAUAACUUCGGGAAACCGGAGCUAAUACCGGAUAAUAUAUUGAACCGCAUGGUUCAAUAGUGAAAGACGGUUUUGCUGUCACUUAUAGAUGGAUCCGCGCCGCAUUAGCUAGUUGGUAAGGUAACGGCUUACCAAGGCAACGAUGCGUAGCCGACCUGAGAGGGUGAUCGACCACACUGGAACUGAGACACGGCCCCGGCUCCUACGGGAGGCAGCAGUAGGGAAUCUUCCGCAAUGGGCGAAAGCCUGACGGAGCAACGCCGCGUGAGUGAUGAAGGUCUUCGGAUCGUAAAACUCUUUUAUUAGGGAAGAACAAAUGUGUAAGUAACUAUGCACUUCUUGACGGUACCUAAUCAGAAAGCCACGGCUAACUACGUG